GUGGUCCCUUGAGCAGCACAUGUACUGAAACUGCAAUGAGACAGAGAAGGUUAACACAGCCCCUGCACAUGGAUGACACAAAAAUCUAUGAAGCUUUCACAUUCUUU